UUGGAGGGCAAGUCUGGUGCCAGCAGCCGCGGUAAUUCCAGCUCCAAUAGCGUAUAUUAAAGUUGUUGCAGUUAAAAAGCUCGUAGUUGAAUUUCGGGGUCAGCAGGUUGGUCGUGCCACUGGUAUGCACUGGCUUCGCUGAUUCCUCCUUCUUGAAGAACUGUAAUGUCAUUAAUUUGGUGUUGCAGGGAAACAGGACUGUUACUUUGAAAAAAUUAGAGUGUUUAAAGCAGGCUUAACGCUUGAAUACAUUAGCAUGGAAUAAUGAAAUAGGACGUUUGAUCCUAUUUUGUUGGUUUCUAGGAUUGACGUAAUGAUUAAUAGGGAUAGUUGGGGGCAUUAGUAUUCAAUUGUCAGAGGUGAAAUUCUUGGAUUUAUUGAAGACUAACUACUGCGAAAGCAUUUGCCAAGGAUGUUUUCAUUAAUCAAGAACGAAAGUUAGGGGAUCGAAGACGAUCAGAUACCGUCGUAGUCUUAACCAUAAACUAUGCCGACUAGGGAUCGGAUGAUGUUAAUUUUUUAAUGACUCAUUCGGCGCCUUACGGGAAAC
rnacentral:rRNA from 1 species